rnacentral:rRNA from 1 species
AAGGGCACCACAAGAACGCGUGGAGCAUGUGGCUUAAUUUGACUCAACCCGGGAAAUCUUACCAGGUCCAGACAUAUUGAGGAUUGACAGGCGAUAGUAUAUAAAAUAUAUUUUUAUAUGCAUAAAAAUGAUAGUCCUUUCAUGAUUAUAUGAUAGGUGGUGCAUGGCCGUUCUUAGUUCGUGGAGUGAUUUGUCUGCUUAAUUGCGUUUCAGUAAAUAAAAUAUAUAAUAUAUUAUAAUAUUUAGUUCUGCCAUUUAUUUAUGGAUUUAAAGUGAACAUAUUAUAUAUAUUAUUAUAUAAUAAAUGAAUGCAACGAACGUGACCGUAACCUUUUAUUGCUAUUGAAAAUUAUAAUUAUAGCAUAAAAUUAAAGGAACCGCUGUCAUUACUAAAUAUGUGUUAAAAUAGAGUAAGAUUAUGGCAAUAACAGGUCUGUGAUGCCCUCAGAUGUUCUGGGCUGCACACGUGCUACAAUAAUUACAUUAAUAAGUAUAUAUACUUUAUAAUAUAUAAUAUUAUAUUACAACCUAUUUCGAAAGUAAAUCGGUAAUCAUUUAAAAAUCGUGAUUAAUUAAUAUAAAUAUAAUUAAUUUAAGGUGGGGAUAGUGUAUUGUUAAUUAUUACACUUGGCCUUAACUAGGAAUGCCUUGUACUCUUCUUUGGUUUAACAUACCAAGAGGAAUACGUCCCUGCCCUUUGUACACACCGCCCGUCGCUCUUACCGAUGAAUUAUAUUAUAAAUCUAAGGAUUUAUUAUAUUAAAAUAUAAAAAACUUAUUUACAUAAUGUGAUUUAAAGGAAAGAG